rnacentral:piRNA from 1 species
UGUCGCCAGGCUCUUGUCACUCUGUCC